rfam:Enterococcus durans ATCC 6056 genomic scaffold acyDB-supercont2.6, whole genome shotgun sequence.
CCAAAAAUAAAAAGAAUCGUCUGAAACGAGGAACAAACUAAAAUGUAAAUUUUAGGUGUGAACGAGUGGAAGAUGAUUACUUUUUACCCUAUGUGUGUACACACAUAG